rfam:Tetrahymena thermophila SB210 genomic scaffold scf_8254666, whole genome shotgun sequence.
GCUAUGAAGAUACGAUGACGAGAAUGACGGUUUUCUUCGAUUUGGGUACCAAAGUUCUUUUGGUAUUUGAUGAGAAGCGACCUCAACGUGAUUCUAAAUGAGGCAUUUGACAGAGCA